AUUGAACGCUGGCGGCAUGCUUUACACAUGCAAGUCGGACGAGUGGCGGACGGGUGAGUAACGUAUGGGAACGUACCUAGUAGCGGGGGAUAACUGUUCGAAAGGAUAGCUAAUACCGCAUAUCAUUCGAUCGACCCAUGUGUGAUUAGCUGGUUGGUGAGGUAAAGGCCCACCAAGGCGACGAUCAGUAGCUGGUCUGAGAGGAUGAUCAGCCACACUGGGACUGAGACACGGCCCAGACUCCUACGGGAGGCAGCAGUGGGGAAUUUUGGACAAUGGGCGCAAGCCUGAUCCAGCCAUGCCGCGUGUCUGAAGAAGGCCUUCGGGUUGUAAAGGACUUUUGGCAGGGAAGCGGUACCUGAAGAAGAAGCACCGGCUAACUACGUGCCAGCAGCCGCGGUAAUUC
rnacentral:rRNA from 1 species